rnacentral:lncRNA from 1 species
GUGAAACUGUUGGCACUGAGAUCAAGUUUUCUGAGUCUUGAAGAAUUUGAGAUAGAAGCAGGAAUAAAGCCACUCAGAUUAUUCGUCGCACAAUUGAAUUCUACAAGGCUGGGCAUUCUAUGGCCUAAAUCUGAAGGUAGAGUACCUAAAAGCCUGUUUCCAUCAAAUGAUAGGUACUGCAUUGCUGACAUGUUGAAAAUGCUUGUAGGGAUGGAACCAAUAAAUUCAUUCCCGAAUAAUCCCAGCAACUGUAGUUUCUUAAGAUUACCUAGCUCCACUGGUAUCUCUCCUAUCAAGUGAUCAAGGGAAAUAUAUGAGUACCAAUCUUAGCGGAAAUGAGAAUAUUAUAUUUGAGAUUUAUUAUAAGGAAAUAUCAUAUUACCUUC